AACGAACGCUGGCGGCAUGCCUAACACAUGCAAGUCGAACGAAGGCUUCGGCCUUAGUGGCGCACGGGUGCGUAACGCGUGGGAAUCUGCCCUUGGGUUCGGAAUAACGUCGGGAAACUGACGCUAAUACCGGAUGACGACGUAAGUCCAAAGAUUUAUCGCCCAAGGAUGAGCCCGCGUCGGAUUAGCUAGUUGGUGAGGUAAAAGCUCACCAAGGCGACGAUCCGUAGCUGGUCUGAGAGGAUGAUCAGCCACACUGGGACUGAGACACGGCCCAGACUCCUACGGGAGGCAGCAGUGGGGAAUAUUGGACAAUGGGCGAAAGCCUGAUCCAGCAAUGCCGCGUGAGUGAUGAAGGCCUUAGGGUUGUAAAGCUCUUUUACCCGGGAUGAUAAUGACCGUACCGGGAGAAUAAGCUCCGGCUAACUCCGUG
rnacentral:rRNA from 1 species